AGAGUUUGAUCCUGGCUCAGGACGAACGCUGGCGGCGUGCUUAACACAUGCAAGUCGAACGCUGAUCCAUCUUCGGGUGGUGAGGAGUGGCGAACGGGUGAGUAACACGUGGCAACCUGCCCCCGGCUCUGGGAUAACUCCAAGAAAUUGGGGCUAAUACCGGAUGUGACCGCUGGCCGCAUGGUCUGGUGGUGGAAAGGGUUUCCGGCUGGGGAUGGGCCCGCGGCCUAUCAGCUUGUUGGUGGGGUAGUGGCCUACCAAGGCGACGACGGGUAGCCGGCCUGAGAGGGUGACCGGCCACACUGGGACUGAGACACGGCCCAGACUCCUACGGGAGGCAGCAGUGGGGAAUAUUGCGCAAUGGGCGGAAGCCUGACGCAGCGACGCCGCGUGGGGGAUGACGGCCUUCGGGUUGUAAACCUCUUUCAGCAGGGACGAAGCGCAAGUGACGGUACCUGCAGAAGAAGCACCGGCCAACUACGUGCCAGCAGCCGCGGUAAUACGUAGGGUGCAAGCGUUGUCCGGAAUUAUUGGGCGUAAAGAGCUCGUAGGCGGUUGGUCGCGUCGGCUGUGAAAACCCGGAGCUCAACUCCGGGCCUGCAGUCGAUACGGGCCGACUUGAGUGUUGCAGGGGAGACUGGAAUUCCUGGUGUAGCGGUGAAAUGCGCAGAUAUCAGGAGGAACACCGGUGGCGAAGGCGGGUCUCUGGGCAACAACUGACGAGAGCGAAAGCUGGGGAGCGAACAGGAUUAGAUACCCUAGUAGUCC
rnacentral:rRNA from 1 species